GAUGAACGCUGGCGGCGUGCCUAAUACAUGCAAGUCGAGCGAACAGACGAGGACUUUCCCCUCUUGACGUUUGCGGCGGACGGGUGAGUAACAUGUGGAUCACCCACCUAUAAGACUGGGAUAACUUCGGGAAACCGGAGCAUAUACCAGACAAUAUAUUGAUCCGUAUGUUCCAACAGUGAAGGACGUCUUUGUUGUCACUACUAGCUGGAUAUGCGCCGCAUUAGGUAGUUGCUAAGGUAACGGCCUACCAAGGCAACGAAGCGUAGCCGACCGGAGAGACGGGUCGGCCGCCCUAGAACGGGGACGGGCACCCGACGACUGCGAGAGGCAGCAGUAGGGUAUCUUACGCAAUGGGCGAGAACCUGGCGGAGCGGCGCAACGUGAGAGAUGAAGGUCUUCGGAGCGUAAAACUCGGUUAUGGGGGAAGAACAUAUGUCUGAGUAGAUAUACACAUAUUGACGGUACCUGAACAGAAAGCCACGGCUAACUACGUG
rnacentral:rRNA from 1 species